AUCGCGUUCCCUGCCCGCCGAGGUCCCAUCGCUUCCCUGCUGGGAAGACAAAUGAGGCGCUUUAGCCGUCUCCACGGCCAGCCCCUCCCUCAUAACCCGAGAUUCUUUGUGGGCUCUUAGUCCAUAGCUGCCUUUGAGGUGGUGUAGACCUUGCUAACCAGGACGGCCCAGUAGGCAGAGCUCAUUUUUAUUCCUGUCUGCAAUCGUGCAAAAACGCCUCUUAUGGAAAAGCCAGAGCGCCAGGAGUCAGCAAAACACACUAAAGAUUGGGCAGUCACUGGGGAGAACGUGAGUAAAAGCACAGGAACAGCAAAGCGUUCAGGAACGUUCGAGGCUGACGCAACCGGCGCAGGAAGGUGACUCAGCCCGCCUGCACCCAGGUGAAAUAUACAGCCUUGUUGCUCACACAAAGCCUGUUUGGUGGUUUCUUCACACGGAUGCAUGUGACAUUUGGUGCUGAAGACCCAGGACAGGAGGACUCCUUUGGGAGACCAGUGCCCUGUUGUCGCCCUCACUCCGUGAGGAGAUCCACCUAUGAUCUCAGGUCCUCAGACCAACCAGCCCAAGGAACAUCUUGCCAAUUUCAAAUCGGAUAGGAGUGUCAGGCCUCUGAGUCCAAGCUAAGCCAUCAAAUCCCCUGUGACCUGCACGUGUACAUCCAGAUGACCUGAAGCAACUGAAGAUCCACAAAAGAAGUGAAAGUAGCCUUAACUGAUGACAUUCCACCAUUGUGAUUUGUUCCUGCCCCACGCUAACUGAUACCAUAUAUUCUUCCCCCGCCCUUGAGAAUGUACUUUGUACACCUAUCCCAAACCUAUAAGAACUAAUGAUAAUCCUACCACCCUUUGCUGACUCUCUUUUUGGACUCAGCCCGCCUGCACCCAGGUGAAAUAAACAGCCCUGUUG
rnacentral:lncRNA from 1 species